rnacentral:rRNA from 1 species
UUCCACAGCCAUAUCACCCUGCAGCCCAAGACCGGUUACUCACUGAAGCUAAGCAGGGCUGAGCCUGGUCAGUACUUGGAUGGGAGACCACAUGGAAAAAUUAGGUUGUUGUUGCAA